rnacentral:tRNA from 5 species
GCGCUUGUAGCUCAGUGGUAGAGCAUCGUCCUUAUAAGACGAGGGUCGUAGGUUCGAUCCCUACCAAGCGCACAA